rnacentral:rRNA from 1 species
CCUACGGGGGGCAGCAGUGAGGAAUAUUUGUCAAUGGCCGGAAGGCUGAACCAGCCAAGCCGCGUGAAGGACGAAGGUGCCAAGCAUUGUAAACUUCUUUUGUCAAGGGACAAAAUCAGGCUCGAGAGCCUGACCGACGCUACUUGAAGAAAAAGCAUCGGCUAACUCCGUGCCAGCAGCCUCGGUAAUCCGGAGGAUGCGAGCGUUAUCCGGAUUUAUUGGGUUAAAAGGGUGCGUAGGCGGACUGUUAAGUCAGCGGUAAAAGCCCGGGGCUGAACCCCGGCGCGCGGUGGAAACUGGCUGUCUGGUGAUGUCGAGGGGUAUGCGAAGUGCGCAGUGUAGCGGUGAAAUGCUUAGAUAUUGCGCAGAACUCCGAUUG